GCCUACGGGGCGCAGCAGUAGGGAAUCUUCCACAAUGGACGAAAGUCUGAUGGAGCAACGCCGCGUGAGUGAAGAAGGGUUUCGGCUCGUAAAGCUCUGUUGGUAGUGAAGAAAGAUAGAGGUAGUAACUGGCCUUUAUUUGACGGUAAUUACUUAGAAAGUCAUGGCUAACUACGUGCCAGCAGCCGCGGUAAUACGUAGGGGGCAAGCGUUGUCCGGAUUUAUUGGGCAUAAAGCGAGUGCAGGCGG
rnacentral:rRNA from 1 species